UUGGGAAGCCCAGAGGUGAAGAGAGUCAUGCGUGAGAGGAGACUUACUGUUCCAACACUGAAAUCUGCCAAAAGCAACAUCGGCCUCGUCAAUUACGGGAGUGUCAUGUUUGGAUUUGCAUCUCCCCGGGGUCUGGCGCCUACUGAAGCUGCUCGGACUCCAUGAGAACUGCACAGAUCGGCGCUGGAGCAAUAAAACCGGCCUCGCCCCGAGGUGAUGCCAGCCUGCCUGCCAGGACCCCGGAGUCAUGGAGCAGGAACUGCAGAUCUUUCCUCCACGGGGCUCAGGAAGUCCUUUCUCGCUUCCCACACCCUCUCCCAGGCCACCGUCUCGGAGCGCUGCCAAACUAAUCAUCCGCCUUUGGCUGUAUCGUAAACAGGAAAGCAAAGUUCAGGCAAGCUUCAAAAGCCUUUCUUUAAAAUUCCAGAUGACAGAACUUCAAGAACGAUUAAAUUCAUCUUUGCUUCAACCUUCCUUGCUCUCUGAUAGAGACCCCACCUGAACUGACCGAGGGGCUGAAGAGCCCCCAGCCCUAGGGCCCCACAACCAUGCAGCCUCAGCUGUCAAGCCAGAAGCUCAAGCAGACAGAAGCCCUGGAGCUAUUUUAAUACACCCCCGUCAUUUACUGAUGAUGAGCUCAAGGUCAAGAGUGGUGAUUUGCCCAGUGGCCUGAGUCUUGCCCACACACAUCACAAGCAGGAAAUUCAUUGAACGGCUGCUCCCGCCUCCUCUGAACAUUUUCUUGGGCUAUAGAAAUAUUUGGGUCAUGCCCAGAAAGGCGAUUCUUCAUUUCAAAGAAGAAAGGUGUGAUUUCCAAGACACUGGAGAAUAAAGACAAUUCUCAUCAGGCUAUAAGUCCUGUAGUUAUGGGGACACAGGACACCAGCCCGGGAAUCCAGGUACCUGGGUCCUCAAAUCAACUCUACUUUCAAGUUGCUCUGUGACUUGGGGCAGUUCAUCUUAGCGGUCUGGCUGUCUCCUCCCCUGCAAGCUGCUCCUGUUCUCUGCCUCCCUAUUUCAGCAUCCGGAACCCCCAAUCUACCUGGCUGCAACAGCCAGGCCCCAGGGAGUUAUCCCAGACUCUUUCUCCUCUGAUACCACCUCCCGUCGCUCACUCACCUCUCUCAAUCUCGUCAGCCUCUCUUGUUCCCCAGCCACCUCUCUAUGCAAACUACUAGCAUCUCUCUGCUGGACCAGUGCAAGGGCCCCCGUCUUAGCUGGGAUCCAGUCCUGGCCUGUGUGGAGCCUACACAUCCUCAAGAUAUGAGUUUAAAUGUUACUUCCACAGGAAAACCAGCCCGUACUCUAGGUUACAGCCCUACCCUUUUUCCCCAUCACUGGUGAUCGGUGCAUAAUUGUCUCUCCUAUGAGCUGUAUAAGGGCAGAGAUGAAGUAUGUUUUCCUCACUGCUCCAUCACCAGCAACUGGAGUAGCACCUGGCAGGUAGUAGGAGCUUUCUAAUUAUUUGUUGAAUGAUUAAAUAAAUGUUGAUACCUCUUGGCCUUGUGUGCAUACUCAUCAGUAAGAUGUGAUCUACUGGAGGGGAAAGAUACAGAUACAGAACAUCAUGAGACAGGUAUGUGUACCGGGUGUUCUGAGGAUGCUUUAAAUAGAGUCACAAUUUGCUAUAGAUACUUUCCCAGAGGAAGUCACCCUUGAGCAGGACUUGGGGCUUUGGGACAUGUGGCCAUGCUCAGGACACUGGCUCAGAGAGGUAGAGUGAAUUGGCCAAUGUCACAUAGUCCUUGGUGAGCAUCAUAAAGAUGAGCAGUCCCUAACGUGCUCCAAGCUGUAGCUCCAGCAUCCACCUCAGUGUUCAACAAGUACGUUGAAUGAAUGAAUGAAGAGAGAAGACAGAGAUGCAAGGAAGACCUGGGGACUCAAGUUGCAGAAAGAACCUGAUACUGACAUACAAAAGAGGAGUUUGAUGAGCAAUAAGGGAUUUGGAAGUACCACCAAAGGAAAAAGCUUUGGCUAUACUGAGGCUGAUAUUUGUUUAUUUUAUCCAUAGAGGAUGACAGUACUGUUCACUGACUUUAAAAUAUAUAUUUAUGCCCAAUAAACUGAGGCUGUAAUUGUUAUUAUGUUUUUUUAUUGUCACACAGAUGUUUAUUUUUAGAGUUUUUAAACAUCUUAAAAACCAAAAGGUAAAAGUCUCUCGAAUGUGAGACCUCACUUUGGUAAGAAGUCUGUUUUCAACAUGCUUGCAUUCAUCUAGAAAUGUCAUGCAUACGACAGUUGCUAAUGUCAAAUGCAAAACAGAAAAACAAAAUCAUCACCAUAACAACUUACAAGUGUUGAUAAUAAAAGAAUAGGAGCAGAUGUCUCUGAGGUGACCUGGCUGGGCUAAAAUAUAUGGUCAUACAAAAUGCCACUGAA